rnacentral:lncRNA from 1 species
GUGAGACCCAAACACAAAGCAUUAAGUGAGAAGCUUCCCACAGGGUGUGACCUGUGAACUUUAAUUUCUAGUUGAUUCUUGAUUUAUGCUAUUUGUACACAUAUGCUAUCUCAGUAUGCCUUCCCUCUCACAAUUCACCCACCACUAGUAUCCUCCAAACCUCAGAAAAGUCUUGCACAAAAUAGCUGUGUACAGGUGAUUGACAGGGGCAAUGUCCCAAGGCAAGACAAGGGUGUCUCUUAGAGGCAGCAGUCCAGCAGUCACAAGCAAUGGCCAGUGGGUAAAUAACAGGAGUGCCUAGGACAUGGUUAGCACUUGAUAAAUGUAUACAAAAAUAAACAGUGAGUGAAUUAAUAAAUGGAUAGUCAAGUAACAGGAGAACAAAAAAAUAAUUGUGGUUUAUUUUGAUCAAUAAUCUCCAAAAAAGUUUUGGAGAUUUUUGAAAAAGUGAUAGACUUUUAACAAUGCAUGGAACAUAGUCAUUUUAUUCAGCAACCAAAGAAAUAAUGAAGCCUGUAGAUCUGAGAGACACAGGAUCAUCUGGGUUACACUAGGCUAUUUCAAUUAGAAGCACCAUAUGGCCUACUAUGUAUUCAAAAUUCAUCUUUAUUUAGGUCCUUCUGUGGAGUUUUGUAGUGAUUUUCCUUUAUUUAAGUUCCAAAGUCUUAUUAAGUUAAUUCCUAGGCAUUUUAUGUUUGUUUUUUUGCUAUUGUGAUAGAAUGUGUUUUCAUUACAUUUUCUAAUUUCCUCCAUGUGAAAACAACUGAGUUCUUUUUAUUCAUUUUGCGACCUGACUGAACUCACUCACUGUUCUAAUGAUGCUUUCUUCACAGAGUCUCUUGGGUCAAUUGUGUUGUUUUGGAUAGAUGGUGAGCCACAGUUAGAUUACAUCAAAAGCCUCUUUUUAACCAUAGAGUAGUAAACAUUAAUUGCAUCAGUAUGGUCCCUCAGGAAAUAAUUUAAAUGCUCUAAGAAAAACAACUAAUUUCUGAAAUGAAAUCCUAAGAAAAUAAAGAGCUUUGCAGCCAAAGGAUGGAGUAAAGGCAAAGCAACCCACACUCACAGACCCAGACUCCAGGCCCACCUCUGCAGUCAAAAUCACAGGUCUACCCCAGUGGUUCCAGACUCAAGGCCCACUUGGACCUAGGAACCAAGACCACCCACCUCCUGGACCAGGCACAAGGCCAGGAUGCUCAAGAAUUUCAGCAGCCAGCCUUCCCACAGAAAGGAUGUCCUGCCCAGAAUCUCUAGACGGGCUGGUGAAGGGCUUUCCCAAAGUAAGUCUUCAAAAACUGGAAUAAGCUCUUGUUUAUGCAAACAUGCAGACACCAAUGCACAGUCGCAAGGGUCAAGAACAAGGAAACAUGACACCACCAAAGGAACAAAAUAAAGCACCAGUAACUGAGCCUAAAGAAAUGCAGACUUAUUAAACACCUG